AUUGAACGCUGGCGGCAGGCUUAACACAUGUAAGUCGAACGAGUGGCGGACGGGUGAGUAAUGCUUGGGAAACUAGCUCAUGGUGGGGGAUAACUACGGGAAACUGUAGCUAAUACCGCGUACCAUAGGAAGAGCCCAAGUGGGAUUAGGUAGUUGGUGAGGUAAAGGCUCACAAAGCCGACGAUCUCUAGCUGGUGUGAGAGGAUGACCAACCACACUGCGACUGAGACCCGGCCCAGACUCCUGCGGAAGGCAGCAGUGGAGAAUAUUGCGCAAUGGGGGCAACCUGACGCAGCCAUGCCGCAUGAAUGAAGAAGGCCUUCGGAUUGUAAAGUUCUUUCGGUAGCGAGGCGUUAACUACAGAAUAAGCACCGGCUAACUCCGUGACGACCGCCGCGGUAAUUC
rnacentral:rRNA from 1 species